UACGUAGGUGGCAAGCGUUGUCCGGAUUUACUGGGCGUAAAGAGCGCGCAGGCGGUCGUUCAAGUCGCGUGUGAAAGCCCCCGGCUCAACUGGGGAGGGUCACGCGAUACUGAUCGACUCGAAGGCAGGAGAGGGAAGUGGAAUUCCCGGUGUAGUGGUGAAAUGCGUAGAUAUUGGAAAGACCACCGAUGGCGAAGUCACUCUACUGGGCCAUUACUGACACUGAGAGACGAAAGCUAGGGGAGCAAAUGGG
rnacentral:rRNA from 1 species